UUUAAUCCUGCUCUGGCAAGGGAUCAUAUCCAGAGACAUUUUAGGACUAUGUGAUCCAGCUGGACUGCAGAAAACCUUUAAUAUACACCUUUAAUCCCUAACAAUGAAGGGAUGAAAAUAAAGAACAAAUAAAUGAACUUGGAACGCUGUCUGCUGAUACUGAAAUUCAGACCUCAACCUUCUUCAUGAUUUGCAUCUGCCACCCUGGACACAAAGAUUGUAACCCAGAGUGGAGAGACUGAAGAAUGAAUCAGCUGCACUGAUCGUGAUCUCCAAGGAUCUGAUAUCCAUGUCUAGAUAUGUGAUCUCUCUCCUGAUUGGAUCUGACUCCAUUCUCUAUUUGAAUACACCUUCUCCAUCAAUCAGAAGCAAGAAGAGCAAAUAAACUUAUCUGGAGGGGAAGAUUUGAUCAGUCAGGCUGCUGGUGAUUCUCCAGGACUUAUCUAGUCCUGGAUAUAACCACUGCCAGACUGAAUGGUGCUAAAGAGAAGGGAGAGUGCUGUGUCACUGUCAGCAGACACAGCCAGUGGAAAGCUGGAAAGCCUGUGCUCAUUUAUUCAGAGUCUCCAUGCACUGAUUGCUUAGCUCCAAGUUUUUAUAGUAGCUGUCACCCUAUAGGAAAUUCAGGUAUCUGAUUUGAAGUGUGAUUUACUUUUAUCAGUCAUGAAUGUUUGUGUCUUCUUCAAAGAAGAUACAAGGUUCAAGCUUCAGCUUAUGACACAGACUAGGGAAUAUCUGACAUAUUCAGAUAUUUUUGUUGGCUCCUGUGAGAACAACUGUAGCAGGAAAUACCAUCAAUUAACCACCAUGAAACCUCUGAAAAAGCCAUAGUUAGAUCAUACAGUACCCAGAAUCAAAUUACUCUUCAUACAGUGAUAAUACCCUGUUGGCAUUAAUGGCAAGGGGCAUUUUUAGAUACAACCACAAUUUAUCAUGUUAUUAUUGUUUUAAUUUACUAGAUUGUCUA